AAAACGACGGGGAGACGCCGAUAACAAAUGUAACUUCACUUUAGGAAGCUGAUGAAGAAACCGCGGCAAAAAUACAAGAUUUGGCGCUUGCCAAAGCGCUCUACCAAAACACUUACGCAUGGCCAUGAUUACGCAAAGCACUGAUAGACGUUCGCUACUGAACAGGCAAUUGAGUGGACAUCUAGUGGCUCU